CGGGCGGUUGGUUAGAGUAGUGGCUCUUCUACGACGAAGAAAUUUUUUAAAAUAUCUUCUGUCAAGAGCCGAUGAUCUCGUACUGACUGCUUAGAAGCUCCAAUCUCGUACCGAUGAUCUCGUACCGGUACGAGAUAGAUGGUACGAGAUCAAAAUGGUACGAGAUAGGGGUAGACCUUUUUUAAACGUAAAUUUUUUUGGUUGACGUACCAUUCACUGGGUAUUACCAGCACCAGCAACCGCUGGCGGUAAAGAAACAGUUUCCUGCAAAAAGUGUCAACAAGUGUUUAGCAGUUCAAAUUUCCAUUCGUUUGCAUUGUUUAUAGUACCUCAUCAUCACUAUUUACCUUAAAUCCAUUUGUUUUAGUUUCAUUCCUGAUAUUCCCACCAUCACUGCUGCUAGUGUCUAUUAUGUCUACGUUGACAAUUUUUUCUUCUGAUGGUCCAGUCGGCUUCAGUGCUGAGUGAUAGUCCUAGGUAAAAGAAUUGUUAUUAUGUUUUAUUUAACUCAAAUGCUUUAUUUUUAGCCUACUUACUGUAACAUGUCUUGAGAAAUUAGAAAUUUUCCAAUAUCCUUUAUCGUCGAACACAAUCCUGAUUGUGGUGGCUUUGACAUGAUCCUUGUGUUCGCAAACUAUUUUUCUGGUUUCUUCACAUACAGUAAAAUCUUCUAAGGUAUAGUUGAGAUUAUUUGUUUGUUUGAAGCGUUGGACCCAGUUACUUGCUGCUUCUAGUAGGCUACGUCCUUUGGAUGUAGGAAGCUGGUUCAUCCCUGCUGCGUUACUUCUUGUGAGAAACUGCUGAGCGUUGCCCUUGGUGGUGUCAAUAGCCAGCUGAUGUCUAGUUGCUGCUAGGGAAGAUGCUACUGAAGAAUGUUUUCUAAACAUGGAAUUCACUUGUAAGAACGUGAACUGCUUUGGGUUUUCGUAGAACAAUUCUCCAAAUAAAUUGAUUUUUUAUGCUGAUGAA